AGUCAGCUCACGAAACAUCUCACUUAGCAUGCUUUGUGGGAAACCCUGUACUAAAUGCUCAUGCAUAUAUACCCACACCUUCAGCCAUACCUAUGUCACUUGGUGCAAAAAUAAUAUUCAGCUUCUGUUACAGCAUAUUAUGUGCAAUCAUGUGUAUAUAUCAGUGUAAUAAAUCAUGUAUACUCUACAAUAAGUGGAGUUCCUGUUGGUGCCAUUUCUGUUGCAAAGGGUGUGGGAUCAUUUCCAGCUGAGAUAUCAUGUCUUGAUAUUGAGAAUGAGUUGGAAUGGAAUCCAGCCAUUCAAUCAAUCAGUCAAACACCAUUUUCACUGUAUGAUGAUGGAGGUGUCAUUUAUUACAAAGACAAUAGAGAAAAAAUGAAAGAGAUCACAGCUGAAGAGAGAGCAGAAAUAGAAAAGACAGAAAACAAAAGGGUCAAUAGUGUUGGUGUAUAUGGUACUGGGUCAUCAUCAUCAAGUGGUCAUUCAAGCUACAGUUACUAUAGGAAAGAGAGAGCACUUAAGAUUUAUACUGAUGAUGACACUCCAAGAGACAAAGAGGAUUGAGUUCAUUUAGUGGAAAUAUGUGUUUGUGUGGCUUGUUGUAGGCUGUCUCCCCUCUUCAGCUAUUAAUAAUUAUUUAUUAUUUAAUGGUGGUUUACAUUGUCUUUUAGAGUGUUAUUUUUCUUAGUAGUUUUAUUAUUAUUAUUAUUAUUAUUAUCGUGUUCUUGUAUAAUGAUAAACUAUUUUAUGCGUCUUUAAAUUGAUUUAAUACUAUUGUUUAUAUUAUUAUUAUUAUUAUUAUUGUUGUUCAUGAUAACUUAGAUUAAAUUGCAUGCUAAAACAAAA